GUUGAUUAGGACUGUAAACAUUGUCAUGCUUAAUUUUAGUUGCUAGAUGGAAAAGCAGUGCUGCAAAUUUUAGAACUAGGACGUCGUUUCCACGGUUCUAUAUAGUUAUUUGCAUUGUACAGUCACAGUUCUAAGCUUAAUCUUAUUAGUUCUGUAGCAUUGCAGAUCAGGGUCUUUUUUCCUAGCAGAUCAAUACCUUUGGUCGGAUUUAGCUUAUUUGAUAGUGAACAAAACAUAAAUGGUGUGAAUAUAACGAAUAAUUACGCGGUGUGACCUAUCAAAACUAUUAACGUGAAUUUUUCAGUUCUCAUUUUUACACUUUUUAUUCUUCCCUUGAGAUCCACUGUUUGCUCUUCUAACAAUAUAAUACUAGCUGUGCACUUGCAGCCCCUUUCAGUUGAGCUGGGUCCUGGUAUCCUCGGGAACAUUUUUUUGGGAAUCCAGCUGUUGGAGAUGUUCUCGCAGUCGGAGAUCUAUAUGAUACUGUCUUCGAGAACAAUUUGAUGAACCACAGUGUCGCCCUUCCACCUGGUUCUAUGGGGAAAGUAAAUUACGUCGCUUCAGCUGUUCAAUACAGCCUAUAGGAUACAGUGCUAGAGUUAGAAUUUCAGGGCAUGAAAAAGCAAUUUACUAUGCUUCAGCGUGUGCUUGACGCAUCCCUUGGUUCUUGGAGAAACAUGUGCUAUUCCUGGUGCUUUUGGUUGUGGAAAAACUGUUAUUAGUCAGGCACUUUCCAAGUACUCCAGUUCUGAAGUUGUGGUUUAUGUGAGAUGUGGUGAAAGAACAAAUGAGAUGGCUGGGGUUCUCAUGGACUUGCCCCAAUUGACAACGACGUUGCCCAACGAACGUGAAGAGUUUGUCAUGAAGAGAACAACAUUGGUUUCUAACGCGUCUAACAUGCCCGUUGCUGCUCGUGAAGCCUCCAUUUAUACAGGUAAAGGUGUAAUGCCUUGAAAGCCGUGGAAGUAAAGGGGAUUUAUUGAUCAAGCUGGCUCAUUAUAUUAGGGUUGUCUUGAUCUUGCUUACUCAAGUGCUUCGCCAGUAGAGCUGCACAACAUGUGCGAUGUGCCAAGCCGUGCUUUCAAGUUGUGUCCUCGGCCCUCCCCGUCGUAAUGGUGGUCUAGCAUGAAGCUUGAAAGUUGAUCCAAACCAACACCAUGUAUUCUUAUGGAUGUAUGAGUCAACUCAUUGUAGGUGGAGCUUUUCUCUUGCGCACAACUUACUUUAUUUUAUGCUUUAUCAGUGUAAUGUCCAGUUUCAUUUGCAGGUAUACCAUUACUCUUCUCAUGGUAUUGCAGAUGCAUCAUGUGUAGCUUUUCAGCCUUGCAAAAUAGAAGUUUAAUUUAUACAUGCAUAUUGUCAGAAUAUUGGUGCGUUCAAAAGACUAUGGGUGGAAUUAACAAACUGGCUGAAAAUAUGAAACAAAUCCAGGAUGCUUUGCCAGCUUUUCAUGGAGAUUCUGCUAAUUUCAACACGAGGAGGAACUUCAAGAAUUGGAGGGAGAGUGUGUGUCUGGUCAAUAGGCAAGCAGUCCCCCCUGCUCCAUCGGAAGCUACAAUUGAAGAGGUUGCUGCACUACAAGCUAAAAUGACGAAACAACCAAGUUAAUGUUUGAUCUUUUGUUACAUCGAUUUGUAAACCUUAAUGUCUAUUUGCUGCUUUCACAAGACUAA